GUGCUCGCUUCAGCAGCACAUAUACUAAAACUGAAAUGGUGCAGAGAAGAUUCACAUCGCCCCUGCUCAAGGAUGACAUGCAAAUUCGUGAAGCAUUCCAUAUUUUU
ensembl:snRNA U6 U6 spliceosomal RNA